GUUUUUAAAAUAUACUUAUUAGGGUUUUUGAAGAACUUGUGUAUCAGUUGUAGAAAUUUUGGUAAUGGUAAUAACCAGAUCAAAAAAGGAAAUUCCCGUGGGGAUUAUUGGUGACGGUUUCCCACUCCCUCUCCCUCUCCCUCGACCGCGUUCCACUUCCUGAAAUGCAGGAGGAAUUUAACUUCUCCAUUGCAAAAAGCUCCCUACCUCCAAUGCGCGUUCUGGUUCACCUCUCCAUCGAUCUGCAAAUCCGCUCUACCGGCGACGAGCAAAGAUUAAAGGCUAAGAGGAGCCAAGUAGUGCACAGCGAAACCAAUCUUUGUUUGUACGCGACUCGCCGGAAAGCAUGUCCAAUUUGCCAGAAUUUUUGGACUACGGGAGGCUCGCCAGCCAGAAGGUGACCGCCUAGGCCCGGGAGUCCCGUAUGUGUAGUCUGCUCCGUCAGUACCUCAAAGGAGAAGGUGAUGUUCGGAUCUGAGCCUCAGGAUGACGUACGGCAUUGUGCGAAACGAUUACUCAAGUUUAUAGGUUUAUGAUGAAGGCCUCAGAAAAUCAUUGGUUAAAUGUGUUGGAGGUGAUGGGUGUAUAUAGUGGCGUGGAAAUUGAUGAAUGCUAUUUUAUUUUGGUUGUAGUGAAAUAUUUGUAACUAAAUACGAAAUGCAGUCAUGAUGAUUGUCUGAUGUAAUGAAACAACUUUGUGUAAGUUCUCCCUGAUGAAUGAAGUACCUUAUGAAUUUGUUUAAUAUAA